AUGGAGCAAGCCUGGAAAUGGAUCCUUCCUCAGCCUUCAGAUGGGGCAGCAGCUGGAAUGACAGCCAAGCCAGCGCCACAUAGCUUAGCAACCCCCAGAGAACUAACUCUCGCAAGAACAACCUCUCUUCUUCUUCCUCUUCUCAACGUGAAGAUGACAAGGAUGAAGACUUUUAUGAUGAUCCACU
rnacentral:lncRNA from 1 species